UUAAAAUUUUAAUUCUGAAUUGAAAAUUGAUUUUUUUUAUUUAAUUUUGAAUUUUGCAUUAAAACAUGAAUAAAUUGGGAGUAGAGGUAUAAUUAAAUUAAGUUCAGAGAGAGAGAGAGAGAGAGAUCGAAUGAUAGAUGCAAUGGAAGUGAUGGAACGGAACAAUUGUUUUUUUUUUUUUUUUUUGUGAAGAAAAGAUAGCAUAUUAUCCGAUUCAUCGAUAAGUAAUGGAACAAUUGUUGAGGGCUCGGUUGAAAGGUAUUGGGUUUGUUUAAUCCGGCGAUAUCCCUUGCAGGAUAC
rnacentral:lncRNA from 1 species